rnacentral:lncRNA from 1 species
UCCUCUGCGCAAAUCCCCCAUUUAACUCGAAAAUGACGCGUUUUCUCUUUGCAAAUCCCCCAUUUAAGCGAAAAUCACGCGUUUUCUCUUCGCAAAUCCCCCAUUUAACUCGAAAAUGACGCGUUUUCUCUUCGCAAAUCCCCCAUUUAACUCAAAAAAUGACGCGUUUUUCUCUUCACAAAUCCCCCAUUUAACCAAUAAUCACGUGUUUUCUCUUCGAGAAUCCCUUUUCUAACCAGAAAAUCACGCAUUUUCUCUUCGAGAAUCCCCCAUUUAACCGAAAAUCACUCGUUUUCUCUUCGAGAAUCCCCAUUUAACCAAAAAUCACGCGUCUUCUCUUUGGAAAUUGCCCAUUUAAGCGAAAAUCAUGCAUUUUCUUUUCGAGAAUCCCGCUUUUAACCUGAAAAUAACACGUUUUCUCUUCGCGAAUCCCCCAUUUAACCCGAAAAUCACGCGUUUUCUCUUCCCAAAUCCCCCAUUUAAGCGAAAAUCACGCGUUUUCUCUUCACAAAUCCCACAUUUAACCCGAAAAUGACUCAUUUUCUAUUCACAAAUCCCCCAUUUAAGCGAAAAUCACGCAUUUUCUCUUCGGAAUCCCCCAUUUAACCCGAAAAUCACGCGUUUUCUCUUCGAGAAUCCCCAUUUAACCCGAAAAUCACGCGUUUUCUCUUCGCAAAUCCCCAUUUAAGCGAAAAUCACGCGUUUUCUCUUCGCAAAUCCCCCAUUUAAGCGAAAAUCACGCGUUUUCUCUUCGCAAAUCCCCCAUUUAACGAAAAUCACGCGUUUUCUCUUCGAGAAUCCCCCAUUUAACCGAAAAUCACGCGUUUUCUCUUCGAGAAUCCCCCAUUUAACCGAAAAUCACGCGUUUUCUCUUCGCAAAUCCCCCAUUUAAGCCGAAAAUCACGCGUUUUCUCUUCGCAAAUCCCCCAUUUAAGCGAAAAUCACGCGUUUUCUCUUCGCAAAUCCCCCAUUUAACUCGAAAAUCACGCGUUUUCUCUUCGCAAAUCCCCCAUUUAAGCGAAAAUCACGCGUUUUCUCUUCGCAAAUCCCCCAUUUAACUCGAAAAUCACGCGUUUUCUCUUCGCAAAUCCCCCAUUUAAGCGAAAAUCACGCGUUUUCCUCUCGCAAAUCCCCCAUUUAACCGAAAAUCACGCGUUUUCUCUUCGCAAAUCCCCCAUUUAACCGAAAAUCGCGUUUUCUCUUCGCAAAUCCCUCAUUUAAGCGAAAAUCACGCGUUUUCUCUUCGCAAAUCCCCCAUUUAACCGAAAAUCACGUGUUUUCUCUUCGCAAAUCCCCCAUUUAACCCGAAAAUCACGCGUUUUCUCUUCGCAAAUCCCCCAUUUAACGCGAAAAUCACGCGUUUUCUCUUCGCAAAUCCCCCAUUUAAGCGAAAAUCACGCGUUUUCUCUUCGCAAAUCCCCCAUUUAACUCGAAAAUCACGCGUUUUCUCUUCGAAAUCCCCCAUUUAACGCGAAAAUCACGCGUUUCUCCUUCGCAAAUCCCCAUUUAACCCGAAAAUCACGCGUUUUCUCUUCGAAAUCCCCCAUUUAAGCCAAAAUCACGCGUUUUCUCUUCGAGAAUCCCCCAUUUAAGCGAAAAUCACGCGUUUUCUCUUCGCAAAUCCCCCAUUUAAGCGAAAAUCACUGCGUUUUCUCUUCGAAUCCCCAUUUAACCCGAAAAUCACGCGUUUUCUCUUCGCAAAUCCCCCAUUUAAGCCAAAAUCACGCGUUUUUCUCUUCGAGCAAUCCCCCAUUUAAGCGAAAAAUCACGCGUUUUCUCUUCGCAGAAUCCCCCAUUUAACCUGAAAAUCACGCGUUUUCUCUUCGAGAAUCCCCCAUUUAACCGAAAAUCACGCGGUUUUCCUCUUCGCAAAUCCCCCAUUUAAGCGAAAAUCACGCGUUUUCCUCUUCGCAAAUCCCCCAUUUAAGCCGAAAAUCACGCUGUUUUCUCUUCGCAAAUCCCCCAUUUAAGCGAAAAUCACGCGUUUUCUCUUCGAGAAUCCCCCAUUUAAGCGAAAAUCACGCGUUUUUCUCUUCGCAAAUCCCCCAUUUAAGCUGAAAAUCACGCGUUUUCUCUUCGCAAAUCCCCAUUUAAGCGAAAAUCACGCGUUUUCUCUUCGCAGAAUCCCCCAUUUAAGCGAAAAUCACGCGUUUUCUCUUCGCAAAUCCCCCAUUUAACGCGAAAAUCACGCGUUUUCUCUUCGCAAAUCCCCCAUUUAAGCGAAAAUCACGCGUUUUCUCUUCGCAGAAUCCCCCAUUUAACGAAAAAUCACGCGUUUUCUCUUCGCAAAUCCCCCAUUUAAGCGAAAAUCACGCGUUUUCUCUUCGCAAAUCCCCCAUUUAACCGAAAAUCACGCGUUUUCUCUUCGAAAUCCCCCAUUUAAGCGAAAAUCACGCGUUUUCUCUUCGCAAAUCCCCCAUUUAACGAAAAUCACGCGUUUUCUCUUUCGCAAAUCCCCCAUUUAAGCCGAAAAUCACGCGUUUUCUCUUCGCAAAUCCCCCAUUUAAGCGAAAAUCACGCGUUUUCUCUUCGAGAAUCCCCCAUUUAAGCCGAAAAUCACGCGUUUUCUCUUCGCAAAUCCCCCAUUUAACCCGAAAAUCACGCGUUUUCUCUUCGCAAUCCCCAUUUAAGCGAAAAUCACUGCGUUUUCUCUUCGCAAAUCCCCCAUUUAAGCGAAAAUCACGCGUUUUCUAUUCACAAAUCCCCCAUUUAAGCGAAAAUCACGCAGUUUUCUCUUCGGAAAUCCCCCAUUGAAGCGAAAAUCACGCAUUUUCUCUUCGAGAAUCCCCCAUUUAACCCGAAAAUCACGCGUUUUCUCUUCGAGAUUCCCCAUUUAAGCCGAAAAUCACGCGUUUUCUCUUUGCAAAUCCACCUUUUAACCGAAAAUCACGUUUCUUUUUGAGAAUCCCCCAUUUAAGCGAAAAUCACGCGUUUUCCUCUUCGCUAAUACCCCAUUUAACUAAAAUCACGCGUUUUCUCAUCAAGAAUCCCCCAUUUAAGCGAAAAUCAGGUAUUUUCGCUUCGCAAAUCCCCCAUUUAAGCGAAAAUCAUGUGUUUUCUCUUCGAGAAUCCCCCAUUUAACCCGAAAAUCACGCGUUUUCUCUUCGCAAAUCCCCCAUUUAAGCAAAAAUCACGCAUUUUCUCCUCGAGAAUCCCCCAUUUAACUUAAAAAUCACGCGUUUUCUCUUCGCAAAUCCCCCAUUUAAGCAAAAAUCACGCGUUUUCUCUUCGAGAAUCCCCCAUUUAACCCGAAAAUCACGCGUUUUCUCUUCGCAAAUCCCCCAUUUAACCCGAAAAAUCACGCGUUUUCUCUUCGCAAAUCCCCCAUUUAAGCAAAAAUCACGCGUUUUUCUCGUCGCAAAUCCCCCAUUUAAGCAAAAAUCACGCGUUUUCUCUUCGCAAAUCCCCCAUUUAACCCGAAAAUCACACGUUUUCUCUUUGCAAAUCCCCCAUUUAAGCGAAAAUCACGCGUUUUCCUCUUCGCAUAUCUUCCCAUUUAAGCGAAAAUCACGCGUUUUCUCUUCGAGAAUCCCCCAUUUAAGCGAAAAUCACGCAGUUUUCUCUUCGCACAUCCCCCAUUUAACCCGAAAAUCACGCGUUUUCUCUUCGCAAAUCCCCCAUUUAACUGAAAAUCACGCGUUUUCUCUUCGCAAAUCCCCCAUUUAAGUGAAAAUCACGCAUUUUCCUCUUCGCAAAUCCCCCAUUUAAGCGAAAAUCACGCGUUUUCUCUUCGCAAAUCCCCCAUUUAACCCGAAAAUCACGCGUUUUCUCUUCGCAAAUCCCCCAUUUAAGCAAAAAUCACGCGUUUUCUCUUCGCAAAUCCCCAUUUAACCCGAAAAUCACGCGUUUUCUCUUCACAAAUCCCCCAUUUAAGCGAAAAUCACGCGUUUUCUCUUCGCAAAUCCCCCAUUUAAGCGAAAAUCACGCAGUUUUCUCCUCGAGAAUCCCCCAUUUAACUUGAAAAUCACGCGUUUUCUCUUCGCAAAUCCCCCAUUUAAGCGAAAAUCACGCGUUUUCUCUUCGAGAAUCCCCCAUUUAACCCGAAAAUCACGCGUUUUCUCUUCGCAAAUCCCCCAUUUAACCCGAAAAUCACGCGUUUUCUCUUCGCAAAUCCCCCAUUUAAGCAAAAAUCACGCGUUUUCUCUUCGCAAAUCCCCCAUUUAAGCGAAAAUCACGCGUUUUCCUCUUCGCAAAUCCCCCAUUUAAGCCGAAAAUCACAGCGUUUUCUCUUCGCAAAUCCCCCAUUUAAGCGAAAAUCACGCGUUUUCUCUUCGCAUAAUCUCCCCAUUUAAGCGAAAAUCACGCGUUUUCUCUUCGAGAAUCCCCCAUUUAAGCGAAAAUCACGCGUUUUCUCUUCGCAAAUCCCCCAUUUAACCGAAAAUCACGCGUUUUCUCUUCGCAAAUCCCCCAUUUAAGCUGAAAAUCACGCGUUUUCUCUUCGCAAAUCCCCCAUUUAACCAAAAAUCACGCAUUUUCUCUUCGAGAAUCCCCCAUUUAACCGAAAAUCACGCGUUUUCUCUUUGCAAAUUCCCCAUUUAAGCAAAAAUCACGUGUUUUCUCUUCGAGAAUCCCCCAUUUAAGCGAAAAUCACGCGUUUUCUCUUCGUAAAUCCCCCAUUUAACUUGAAAAUCAAGCGUUUUCUCUUCGCAAAUCCCCCAUUUAACCCGAAAAUCACGCGUUUUCUCUUCGCAAAUCCCCCAUUUAAGCGAAAAUCACACGUUUUCUCUUCACAAAUCCCCCAUUUAAGCAAAAAUCACGCGUUUUCUCUUCGCAAAUCCCCCAUUUAACCCGAAAAUCACGCGUUUUCUCUUCGAGAAUCCCCCAUUUAAGUGAAAAUCACGCGUUUUCUCUUCGCAAAUCCCCCAUUUAACCGAAAAUCACGCGUUUUCUCUUCGAGAAUCCCCCAUUGAACCCGAAAAACACACGUUUUCUCUUCGCAAAUCCCCCAUUUAAGCAAAAAUCACGCGUUUUCUCUUCGCAAAUCCCCCAUUUAACCGAAAAUCACGCGUUUUCUCUUCGCAAAUCCCCCAUUUAAGCGAAAAUCAUGCGUUUUCUCUUCGCAAAUCCCCCAUUUAAGCCGAAAAUAACGCGUUUUCUCUUCGAGAAUCCCCCAUUUAACCCAAAAAUCAUGCGUUUUCUCUUCGAGAAUCCCCCAUUUAAGCGAAAAUCACGCGUUUUCUCUUCGCAAAUCCCCCAUUUAACCCGAAAAUCACGCGUUUCCUCUUUAGAAUCCCCACUUUAACUUAAAAAUCACGCAUUUUCUCUUCGCAAAUCCCCCAUUUAAGCAAAAAUCACGCGUUUUCUCUUCGAGAAUUUUCCAUUUAAGGGAAAAUCACGCAUUUUCUCUUUGCAAAUCUCCCAUUUAAGCGAAAAUCACGCGUUUUCUCUUCGCAAAUCCCCCAUUUAACCCGAAAAUCACGCGUUUUCUCUUCGCAAAUCCCCCAUUUAAGCGAAAAAUCACGCGUUUUCUCUUCGCAAAUCCCCCAUUUAAGCGAAAAUCACGCGUUUUCUCUUCGCAAAUCCCCCAUUUAAGCGAACAUCACGCGUUUUCUCUUCGCAAAUCCCCCAUUUAACCCGAAAAUCACGCGUUUUCUCUUCGCAAAUCCCCCAUUUAACCCGAAAAUCAAGCGUUUUCUCUUUGCAAAUCCCCCAUUUAACCCGAAAAUCACGCGUUUUCUCGUCGCAAAUCCCCCAUUUAAGCAAAAAUCACGCGUUUUCUCUUCGCAAAUCCCCCAUGUUACCCGAAAAUCACGCGUUUUCUCUUCGAGAAUCCCCCAUUUAAGUGAAAAUCACGCGUUUUCUCUUCGCAAAUCCCCCAUUUAAGCAAAAAUCACGCGUUUUCUCUUCGAGAAUCCCCCAUUGAACCCGAAAAACACACGUUUUCUCUUCGCAAAUCCCCCAUUUAAGCAAAAAUCACGUGUUUUCUCUUCGCAAAUCCCCCAUUUAACCGAAAAUCACGCGUUUUCUCUUCGCAAAUCCCCCAUUUAAGCGAAAAUCACGCGUUUUCUCUUCGCAAAUCCCCCAUUUAAGCGAAAAUCACGCGUUUUCUCUUCACAAAUCCCCCAUUUAAGCAAAAAUCACGCGUUUUCUCUUCGCAAAUCCCCCAUUUAAGCGAAAAUCACGCGUUUUCUCUUCGAGAAUCCCCCAUUUAAGUGAAAAUCACGCGUUUUCUCUUCGCAAAUCCCCCAUUUAACCCGAAAAUCACGCGUUUUCUCUUCGAGAAUCCCCCAUUGAACCCGAAAAACACGCGUUUUCUCUUCGAGAAUCCCCCAUUUAAGCAAAAAUCACGCGUUUUCUCUUCGCAAAUCCCCCAUUUAAGCGAAAAUCACGCGUUUUCUCUUCGCAAAUCCCCCAUUUAAGCGAAAAUCAUGCGUUUUCUCUUCGCAAAUCCCCCAUUUAAGCCGAAAAUAACGCGUUUUCUCUUCGAGAAUCCCCCAUUUAACCCAAAAAUCAUGCGUUUUCUCUUCGAGAAUCCCCCAUUUAAGCGAAAAUCACGCGUUUUCUCUUCGCAAAUCCCCCAUUUAACCCGAAAAUCACGCGUUUCCUCUUUAGAAUCCCCACUUUAACUUAAAAAUCACGCAUUUUCUCUUCGCAAAUCCCCCAUUUAAGCAAAAAUCACGCGUUUUCUCUUCGAGAAUUUUCCAUUUAAGGGAAAAUCACGCAUUUUCUCUUUGCAAAUCUCCCAUUUAAGCGAAAAUCACGCGUUUUCUCUUCGCAAAUCCCCCAUUUAACCCGAAAAUCACGCGUUUUCUCUUCGCAAAUCCCCCAUUUAAGCGAAAAAUCACGCGUUUUCUCUUCGCAAAUCCACCAUUUAAGCGAAAAUCACGCGUUUUCUCUUCGCAAAUCCCCCAUUUAAGCGAACAUCACGCGUUUUCUCUUCGCAAAUCCCCCAUUUAACCCGAAAAUCACGCGUUUUCUCUUCGCAAAUCCCCCAUUUAACCCGAAAAUCACGCGUUUUCUCUUCGCAAAUCCCCCAUUUAAGCAAAAUCACGCGUUUUCUCUUCGCAAAUCCCCCAUUUAAGCAAAAAUCACGCGUUUUCUCUUCGCAAAUCCCCCAUUUUACCCGAAAAUCACGCGUUUUCUCUUCGAGAAUCCCCCAUUUAAGUGAAAAUCACGCGUUUUCUCUUCGCAAAUCCCCCAUUUAACCCGAAAAUCACGCGUUUUCUCUUCGAGAAUCCCCCAUUUAAGCCGAAAAUCACACGUUUUCUCUUCGCAAAUCCCCCAUUUAAGCGAAAAUCACGCGUUUUCUCUUCGCAAAUCCCCCAUUUAAGCGAAAAUCACGCGUUUUCUCUUCGCAAAUCCCCCAUUUAAGCGAAAAUCAUGCGUUUUCUCUUCGCAAAUCCCCCAUUUAAGCCGAAAAUAACGCGUUUUCUCUUCGAGAAUCCCCCAUUUAACCCAAAAAUCAUGCGUUUUCUCUUCGAGAAUCCCCCAUUUAAGCGAAAAUCACGCGUUUUCUCUUCGCAAAUCCCCCAUUUAACCCGAAAAUCACGCGUUUCCUCUUUAGAAUCCCCACUUUAACUUAAAAAUCACGCAUUUUCUCUUCGCAAAUCCCCCAUUUAAGCAAAAAUCACGCGUUUUCUUUUCGCAAAUCCCCCAUUUAACCCGAAAAUCACGCGUUUUCUCUUCGAGAAUUUUCCAUUUAAGGGAAAAUCACGCAUUUUCUCUUUGCAAAUCUCCCAUUUAAGCGAAAAUCACACGUUUUCUCUUCGCAAAUCCCCCAUUUAAGCGAAAAUCACGCGUUUUCUCUUCGCAAAUCCCCCAUUUAAGCGAAAAAUCACGCGUAUUCUCUUCGCAAAUCCCCCAUUUUAGCGAAAAUCACGCGUUUUCUCUUCGCAAAUCCCCCAUUUAAGCGAACAUCACGCGUUUUCUCUUCGCAAAUCCCCCAUUUAACCCGAAAAUCACGCGUUUUCUCUUCGCAAAUCCCCCAUUUAACCCGAAAAUCAAGCGUUUUCUCUUCGCAAAUCCCCCAUUUAACCCGAAAAUCACGCGUUUUCUCUUCGCAAAUCCCCCAUUUAAGCAAAAAUCACGCGUUUUCUCGUCGCAAAUCCCCCAUUUAAGCAAAAAUCACGCGUUUUCUCUUCGCAAAUCCCCCAUGUUACCCGAAAAUCACGCGUUUUCUCUUCGAGAAUCCCCCAUUUAAGUGAAAAUCACGCGUUUUCUCUUCGCAAAUCCCCCAUUUAACCCGAAAAUCACGCGUUUUCUCUUCGAGAAUCCCCCAUUGAACCCGAAAAACACACGUUUUCUCUUCGCAAAUCCCCCAUUUAAGCAAAAAUCACGCGUUUUCUCUUCGCAAAUCCCCCAUUUAACCAAAAAUCACGCGUUUUCUCUUCGCAAAUCCCCCAUUUAAGCGAAAAUCAUGCGUUUUCUCUUCGCAAAUCCCCCAUUUAAGCCGAAAAUCACGCGUUUUCUCUUCGAGAAUCCCCCAUUUAACCCAAAAAUCAUGCGUUUUCUCUUCGAGAAUCCCCCAUUUAAGCGAAAAUCACGCGUUUUCUCUUCGCAAAUCCCCCAUUUAACCCGAAAAUCACGCGUUUCCUCUUUAGAAUCCCCACUUUAACUUAAAAAUCACGCAUUUUCUCUUCGCAAAUCCCCCAUUUAAGCAAAAAUCACGCGUUUUCUCUUCGCAAAUCCCCCAUUUAAGCAAAAAUCACGCGUUUUCUCUUCGAGAAUUUUCCAUUUAACCCGAAAAUCACGCAUUUUCUCUUUGCAAAUCUCCCAUUUAAGCGAAAAUCACACGUUUUCUCUUCGCAAAUCCCCCAUUUAAGCGAAAAAUCACGCGUAUUCUCUUCGCAAAUCCCCCAUUUUAGCGAAAAUCACGCGUUUUCUCUUCGCAAAUCCCCCAUUUAAGCGAACAUCACGCGUUUUCUCUUCGCAAAUCCCCCAUUUAAGCGAAAAUCACGCGUUUUCUCUUCGCAAAUCCCCCAUUUAACCCGAAAACCACGCGUUUUCUCUUCGCAAAUCCCCCAUUUAUGCAAAAAUCACGCGUUUUCUCUUCGAGAAUCCCCCAUUUAACCAAAAAUCACGCGUUUUCUCUUUGAGAAUCCCCCAUUUAACCCGAAAAUCACGCGUUUUCUCUUUGCAAAUCCCCCAUUUAAGCAAAAAUCACGCGUUUUCUCGUCGCAAAUCCCCCAUUUAACCCGAAAAUCACGCGUUUUCUCUUUGAGAAUCCCCCAUUUAAGCGAAAAUCACGCGUUUUCUCUUCGCAAAUCCCCCAUUUAAGCGAAAAUCACGCGUAUUCGCUUCGCAAAUCCCCCAUUUAACCCAAAAAUCACGCGUUUUCUCUUCGAGAAUCCCCCAUUUAACCCGAAAAUCACACGUUUUCUCUUCGAGAAUCCCCCAUUUAACCCGAAAAUCACGCGUUUUCUCUUCGCAAAUCCCCCAUUUAAGCAAAAAUCACGCAUUUUCUCUUCGCAAAUCCCCGAUUUAACCCAAAAAUCACGCGUUUUCUCUUCGCACAUCCCCCAUUUAAUCGAAAAUCACGCGUUUUCUCUUUGCAAAUCUCCCAUUUAAGCGAAAAUCACGCGUUUUCUCUUCGCAAAUCCCCCAUUUAACCCGAAAAUCACGCGUUUUCUCUUCGCAAAUCCCCCAUUUAAGCGAAAAAUCACGCGUUUUCUCUUCGCAAAUCCCCCAUUUAAGCGAAAAUCACGCGUUUUCUCUUCGCAAAUCCCCCAUUUAAGCGAACAUCACGCGUUUUCUCUUCGCAAAUCCCCCAUUUAACCCGAAAAUCACGCGUUUUCUCUUCGCAAAUCCCCCAUUUAACCCGAAAAUCACGCGUUUUCUCUUUGCAAAUCCCCCAUUUAACCCGAAAAUCACGCGUUUUCUCGUCGCAAAUCCCCCAUUUAAGCAAAAAUCACGCGUUUUCUCUUCGCAAAUCCCCCAUUUAACCCGAAAAUCACGCGUUUUCUCUUCGCAAAUCCCCCAUUUAACCCGAAAAUCACGCGUUUUCUCUUCACAAAUCCCCCAUUUAAGCGAAAAUCACGCGUUUUCUCUUCGCAAAUCCCCCAUUUAACCCAAAAAUCACGCGUUUUCUCUUCGAGAAUCCCCCAUUUUACUCUAAAAUCACGCGUUUUCUCUUCGCAAAUCCCCCAUUUAAGCGAAAAUCACGCGUUUUCUUAUUG